AGGAGGCAGUCGAGCAAAUCUUGAGGAGCGUACCAAAGCAACGUCAAACCUUGUUGUUCUCUGCAACAAUGCCGCCUUUCAUUAGAAGUCUUACUCAGAAGUACCUAAAUAAUCCAGCAGUUAUUGAUCUUGUAAGUGUACAUUUUUAUUUGCUCUGUUCUACUUCAGCCAACAUUAGUAGGAAACAUCUUUGUUUGAUUAGGUGCAAGAAAGUUAACAGGUUUGCAUGUGCUUUAGGUUGGGGACAAUGAUCAGAAAUUAGCAGAUGGAAUUACCCUGUAUUCUAUUGCUGCAGACUCAUAUGGAAAAGGAUCGAUCCUUGGACCUCUUAUAACAGUAAGUAUAUAUAAUUUUCUUGUUUUGGUUUUUGCCUUGUAAACCUUGAGUUGUUUAAGAAUCUUGGUCUUGCCUUUUCAACAUGUGGUUGAUACUCACCAUAAGAUGUGUGAUUAUUAGGAACAUGCAAAAGGAGGGAAGUGCAUUAUUUUUGUUGGGAGAAAACGUGAUGCUGAUAAUUUGGCAUAUGCCCUGUCAAGAAGCCAUAAAUGUGAGGCUUUGCAUGGGGAUAUUUCACAACAGCACAGGGAAAGGGCACUAUCAGGUUUUCGAGAAGGGCGUUUCAAUGUUUUAGUUGCCACUGAUGUUGCCGCUCGUGGGCUUGAUGUACCCAAUGUUGAUCUGGUGAGCUUUUCUUUUAACUGUUUUCAUUUUGUUGAGUGUAAUGUUAUUAGAUAGUCAACUUGUUCCUUGACUAAUCUGCGUGUAUGAACAAUGUCCAUUUCCUCUGUUUUAUUGUUAAUGAUGUGAUUAAAGUGUUGAAUGCUUCCAACUUAGGUCCAUAUAUGGUUAUUGUUGUGAUAUUGUUUUGGGAUUAAAUCAGGGACAAAGACUUCCUACUGACUCCAAUUUUUCCUUGUACUUGUGUGCUUAGGUGAUACACUAUGAGCUUCCAAACAAUUCAGAAAUAUUUGUUCAUCGGUCAGGCCGAACAGGUCGUGCUGGGAAGAAAGGAAGUGCUAUUCUGAUUUACUCACAAGACCAAGCCAGGAACGUCCAAAUAAUUCAACGCGAUGUAGGAUGUAAAUUUAUAGAGGUAAAGAUCAAUUUUCUUUACAUUACUCACAGUUUACGACCUGAGUAUAACAAAGCAUGACUUGGAUAUCAAGUGUUUUUGGGCAAGCCAAUAGGUUAAAAAGUGGCACGAUAAGUUGUUGACAUCAGUAUGUUAUACCCUAUUUAAAUUUUCUUCGGUAAUAUUUGUUAAUGCACUUAAACCAUCAAUUAUAUUCAAGAGUUUAGUGCAAUGAGCAGGCAAUCUGCCUAUGUGCUGCUUAGUUUGAGUUCAAGCGUGCUUAGACAACUCACUGAUUGGGAGUUAUUUUCUUGUCAAUUGUCGGGCACUUUGUUUACAUAUGUAGUAAUCUAGACUAAUUGUUAUUUUCUGUUAAUCAGCUUCCCCGGAUUGCUGUUGAUAGUAGCAUUGCAAGCAUGUUCUCUGACAGAGGUAACAGUGGUCGUUUUGGUGGUUCUGGGGGACCUGGAUAUGGUCGACCGGCAAGCCGAGGUGGAAACUUUGGUAAUUCAAGUUUUGGCCGAUCCGGAUCUGGUGGUUUUGGUAGUUCUGGAGGGUUUGGUGGUUCCGACCGUUCAAGUGGUUUUGGAGGGUUUGGUGGUUCUGACCGUUCAAGUGGUUUCGGAGGGUUUGGUGGUUCUGAUCGUUCAAGUGGUUUCGGAGGGUUUGGUGGUUCCGAUCGUUCAAGCGGUCGUUCAAGUGGUUCUAAGAGCUUCGGAGGAGAUCGCCAGAGUGGCUUUGGUGACAAUAAUUCUAGCCGCUUUGGAAGCUUUGGAAAUAACAAAGGAGGGUUUGGUGGUUCUGAUUUCUGAUUAAAUGCUGGGACAAGAAGAGCCUUCUGAUUUGAUUGAAUGGUAAAUAUGAAAAUUUUGAUUAGUUUUUCUCUUUUUGUUCUUUAUCUUUAUUUUGCCUUGUGGAUCUUUAUGUUCUUUUAGAUGAAACAUGCCACUAUGAUUGGUUUUUACUUAUGAAGUUCUUACACAAUUGUCUUGAUCAUCAGGUAAGAAGAAGCUAUGGGACGACAUAGGAAGAACAAAGAUUAGCUUUAGAGCAAUUCUUUCCAUAUGAGAGGCAUGGUGGUGCACAGGCUUCUACAAGUUUUUAAUUACUGAAGUAGAAGUCUGAUAUUUUAAUGUUGAUAGUAAAUUCAUAAAUUCUGGUAUGUAGCGAACACGAAUCUGACGGGGGCUCUUCAUGUAAUUUAUCUUAUUCGUUUAUGUCAAACCAUUGGUCUUUUUAUUGAAGUCUUAGAUAUAGUGAUUUACUUGGUUGUGUAAGAUAUUAUUAUGAAGUAUACAAUAACCCAAACACUUGGUUCCAUAAUGGAAAUGAUGUUCAGUUCUUGAAUCACUCAUUUGCGUGUUAGAUAGCAGAAUUAACCACAGCAAACGUCUUCGAAAAUAUAGAGGGGCAAAUACUUGCAGUACGCAAAUUAGAUCACAUAUGAUGAUUAAGUUCGUGCUUUCUGCCAUAGCUUUCGGAUUUGCUUCGUUUUCCACCAAAUCUAAACCAACUUGCGGCCGUCACGAACUUUCGUUGCUCAAAAGAGUGCCUCGAUUGUUUUUGCGAUCAAACUCGGUUAUGUUACUCGAUGUUUUUGGGGCAUCCUGCCUUGUGUGUAGUGUCCCGAACGGUGUAAAGGAUGGAAAAUGUUGGUGGCCGAUCCUCUUAAAGCAGCGCAUGGAAUUGUUUUUUAGAUUAAUUAUAAAAUACCAUCCGAAUUAUGAUGUUAUAUUCAUUUUCAUACCUAACUAUUAAAAACUUGUAUUUUCAUACUCGAAAUUUUAUUCUGUUAGCAUUUUGAUACUCUGAUCACUAAUACCAUUAAAUUUUGAAGGCAUUUACGUCAUUUUAAUAAAUAUAUCAUUUUUUACAUUUACUUUAACAAAUUUAUUUUUUGAGGUUAUCAAAUACAAAUAAAACAAUUUACUUUAGCAAAAAUAUUCAAAAAAAAGAACUCCAAAAAUUAAAAAUUUUUUUUUUCAAACAACAUUUUGAUGGUUAUCAAAUAAAAAUAAAGAAAACAUUUUCCAUCUUGGUGUUUUGUAAUUAAUCCUUGUUUUUUUAGGAUGAAGCUGCUCUUCCUCAUGUAUGAUUUACUUAAGCUUAAUUCUGAUGGUUAUGUGUUGGCUGAUUCUCAUAAUGCAGGUGUUUUUGUUUUUAGACAACAUGAUGGACUUCCGGUGUUAGCAGCUGUUGAAGGUCUCUCUUUUAAGACUCGGUAUAUUUUUCAACCGGCAACAUAGUAAAAAUGCUACAUUUAUUUGUAUAAUGAUGCUCUACGUGAGUUUUGACAUUUUGAUGUGUCACCAUUUGUGUAAAGCAAUUGUAGUUGCAAUAUUAUGUACAACCAUUGCUUAAUACAUUUGUUUUGUAGGAAUUCCUAUUAUUAUUGUGGGUAAUUUGUAAUUCUUCUAAUCUUACAUGCAUGUAAUCUCAAUGUCUCCUAUGUAUUCUCUUGUUUCUUUGAUUGAGGGCUUGCCUUGACCAUUCAUAAAAAAAGAAAAAGAAAAAAGAGUUUAAGGAAAAACACAGUUCGAACGAGUAAAAUAUUGACGACCAUGGAAAUUUCGAUGGUUUGAAAAAAAGAAAUUUCGAUGGAUAUAUGGAGAUAAUAUCUAAUAUCGAUGAAAAUUUUACCAAAUUUUAUCUAAAAGUUAUAUAUUCGACCAAAAGCAGACUAAAUAUAAAAUAUCGAAAAGAUAUAAAAAUUAAUAUCGAUAAUUCUAAAAAAUAGAAAUUUCAAGAAAAUAUAUUUUACUCCUUUAGUUCGAUUAGAUCUGUACAAAAGUAUAAAAGUCCGACUCGAUGAAAUUUGAGAUUUACUCCAGGUAGAAAAACAACACUGGUUCAAACUUCAAAGCUUCACUCUUUCACAAGUCACGACACAACAGCUGACACAAAUAUCUCACUGAGAAACCCCCCAUUCCACCAAUUCAACUCCACAAACCCUAAAACCCUAAACCCCGAAUCACCUCUGAUUACGCCCCCAAAAUGAUGAGCAUCAUGCUCCGGCGAACACCCACGAUGGCGCGCAACCUCGCCGCCAUCGAAACGCUCCUCACAAACCGCCUCCCCUUCCCUCCGAUGUCAUCAUCCGGCCACCUGAUUCCGGCCUCAUCCGACGUCGGCGGCGAGGCUAAAACCUCCCACGGGUUUCAAGUUCGGAACUUUCACGCGAAAUCGAUGCCUUUGAAUUAUCGCGCAUCGCCGACUCUGGACGCCGCCCAGUUCGCCGUGGAGGACGGCCAGUACGACGUGUCGUCUAAAGCGAGCGGCGACGAGGGCCUCGAGAUUUCGAAGCUAGGGAUUGAUAAGGAGAUUGUGUCUGCUUUGGCCAAGAAGGGGAUCACUAAGCUUUUCCCCAUUCAGGUAAUUUAGUCAUUUCCCCAAUUGUAUUUGCUGUGUUAAUGUUUAUGAGAGAAUGAUUAGGAAGUAAGAAAGUGUUUAAAUUUCGAAACUUUUUUCGGGUUUGUUGAUUUUUGUAUUGGGGAUUUUUGUGUUGUGUAGAGAGCUGUGUUGGAGCCAGCAAUGCAAGGCCGUGAUAUGAUUGGUCGUGCUAGAACUGGAACUGGGAAAACUCUUGCGUUUGGGAUUCCCAUUUUGGACAAGAUCAUUCAGUACAAUGCCAAACAUGGGUUUGUUUCUUCAGUCACACUCAUUUUGUUAGAUUAGUAGUAGAUUUUGUAAUCGGGUUUAACUUGAUGUUUUGUUAUACAGGCGUGGGAGGAAUCCCUUAGCGUUGGUGUUGGCUCCGACGAGGGAGCUGGCGAAGCAAGUUGACAAGGAAUUCUAUGAGACGGCACCGAGUUUGGAUACGAUUUGUGUUUAUGGUGGUACACCCAUUGGAAGGCAGAUGGGCCAGCUUGACCAUGGAGUUGAUGUGGCGGUUGGCACACCUGGUCGUGUGAUUGAUCUUCUCAAGAGGGGUGCGUUGAAUCUAUUGGAAGUUCAGUUUGUUGUUCUUGAUGAAGCUGAUCAGAUGCUUCAAGUGGGAUUUCAGGAGGAUGUGGAGAUAAUCUUGGAGAGGCUACCUAAGAAACGUCAGACCUUGUUGUUCUCUGCAACAAUGCCUACUUGGAUCAAAAAUCUUACUAGGAACUACCUAACAAAUCCGGUGGUUAUUGAUCUUGUAAGUUUUACAUUUUUGUUGUAGUCUGUUCUGACUUAGGCCAUUAUUGGCAUCCAUUACUUAGGGUCUGAGCACUAGCGAUGACAUCACUCAACUCAGGGCAACAGGCUGUACGGUGAUUUCAUAUGAAUGGAAAUUGAUUUUU
rnacentral:lncRNA from 1 species